UAGGGAAUCUUCCACAAUGGACGCAAGUCUGAUGGAGCAACGCCGCGUGAGUGAAGAAGGUUUUCGGAUCGUAAAGCUCUGUUGUUGGUGAAGAAGGAUAGAGGUAGUAACUGGCCUUUAUUUGACGGUAAUCAACCAGAAAGUCACGGCUAACUACGUGCCAGCAGCCGCGGUAAUACGUAGGUGGCAAGCGUUGUCCGGAUUUAUUGGGCGUAAAGCGAGCGCAGGCGGAAGAAUAAGUCUGAUGUGAAAGCCCUCGGCUUAACCGAGGAACUGCAUCGUAAACUGUUUUUCUUGAGUGCAGAAGAGGAGGGUGGAAUUCCAUGUGUAGCGGUGGAAUGCGUAGAUAUAUGGGAGAACACCAGGGGCGAAGGAGACUCUCGGGUCUGCAACUGACGCUGAGGAUCGAAAGCAUGGGUAGCGAACAGG
rnacentral:rRNA from 1 species